CAGCCGCCACGGGAAUACGGAGGGUGCAAGCGUUAAUCGGAAUUACUGGGCGUAAAGCGCACGCAGGCGGUUUGUUAAGUCAGAUGUGAAAUCCCCGAGCUUAACUUGGGAACUGCAUUUGAAACUGGCAAGCUAGAGUCUUGUAGAGGGGGGUAGAAUUCCAGGUGUAGCGGUGAAAUGCGUAGAGAUCUGGAGGAAUACCGGUGGCGAAGGCGGCCCCCUGGACAAAGACUGACGCUCAGGUGCGAAAGCGUGGGGAGCAAACAGGAUUAGAUACCCGAGUAGUCCCUGUCUCUUAUAC
rnacentral:rRNA from 1 species